rnacentral:rRNA from 1 species
GGAGCUUAAUUAAAUAGAAAGAUCUUUCUUUUAUGUGAGAUUCUUUUCUUCUUAAUGGGAUUUGCGGCGUUCCAGUCGUAAGAAACCCAGCAAUAACAGGUCUGUGAUGCCCUAAGAUGUCUGGGGCUGCACGCGCGCUACAAUGAAAAUUGCAGCGCGUGUGACCAUUUCUGUAAAGAAUUGGUAAACGAGUCAAAUUAUUCCGUAUUUGGGAUUGAACAUUGUAAUUAUUGUUCAUGAACGAGGAACUUCAAGUAAGUGUAAGUCAUCAGCUUACGCUGAUUACGUCCCUG